GCCAGGCGUGGUGGCACAUGCCUGUAAUCCCAGCUGCUUGGGAGGCUGAGGCAGGAGAAUCGCUUGAACCCAGGAGGUGGAGGUUGCAGUGAGCCGAGAUCAUGCCACUGCACUCUAGCCUGGGUGACAGAGUGAGACUCUGUCUCAA
rnacentral:SRP_RNA from 2 species